GACGAACGCUGGCGGCGCGCUUAACACAUGCAAGUCGAACGGAAAGGCCUGCUUUCCCUUGUGGAUUGCGGGUACUCGAGUGGCGAACGGGUGAGUAACACGUGAGUGAUCUGCCCCCAACUUGGGUAUAAGCCUGGGAAACUGGGUCUAAUUCCCGAUAGGACUGCAGGGUGGUGCCUGUGGUGGAAAACGAUUUUCUAGUGGUUGGGGAUGAGCUCGCGGCCUAUCAGCUUGUUGGUGGGGUAAUGGCCUACCAAGGCGGCGACGGGUAGCCGGCCUGGGAGGGUGGACGGCCACAUUGGGACUGAGAUACGGCCAAGAAUACGACGGGAGGCAGCAGUGGGGAAUAAUGCACAAUGGGCGGAAGCCUGAUGCAGCGACGCCGCGUGGGGGAUGACGGCCUUCGGGUUGUAAACUCCUUUCGACCGCGAGGAAGCCACCUGGUUGGAAGGGUGGUGACGGUAGUGGUAGAAGAAGCACCGGCUAACUACGUG
rnacentral:rRNA from 1 species